ensembl:snRNA U6 U6 spliceosomal RNA
UUGCUCACUUCAGCAGCACAUAUACUAAAACUGGAACAGUGCAGAGAAGAUUAGCAUGGCCCCUGUGCAAGGAUGAUAUGCAAAUUUAUGAAGUGAUCCAUAUUAAA